UAGGUGAUGUUUUAAAUAUUUAAAAGGAAAAGUAUAGAAAAUACUGCAGUCCCACCGCUACUGUAUGGAGGAUGAAACCUUGUUUGUAUCACUGGUAAUAUAUCUGGGAAGAUAAGGGAGUAAAAUGAAUCUGAGCCAGGAAGCCUGCCUGACAUUUU
rnacentral:ncRNA from 1 species